GCCGGCAGCGGGAAGUUUAAACCACCGUCUGCGCUCGGAGAAAACCAUGGGUUUGAAUCUUCGGACAGGGGUUCGAUUCCCCUCACCUCCACCA
rnacentral:tmRNA from 1 species